ACCCCAUAGGUCUAGCAUGCUGGAAUGCUACUAGGCCGAAAACUCCGGUGCCUUAGGAUUGGUCUGCGGUCUAUCAGGCAGUAGUGGGUGUAAUGGACCCACUAGCCCGUGACGGAUAUGGGCCUUGAGAGAGGGAGCCCAGAGAUGGACUCUGAGACAUGAGUCCAGGCCCUACGGGGCGCAGCAGUCGCGAAAACUUCGCAAUGGGGGAAACCCCGACGAGGGAAUUCCAAGUGCCAGCACUUUGUGUUGGCUGUUCUUCUGUCUAAAAAACAGGAGAAGUAAGGGGCGGGUAAGACGGGUGCCAGCCGCCGCGGUAAUACCCGCGCCCCAAGUGGUGGUCGAUAUUAUUGAGCCUAAAACGUCCGUAGCCGGUCUUCUAAAUCCUUGGGUAAAUCGGGCAGCUCAACUGUCCGAAUUCCGGGGAGACUGGGAGACUUGGGACCGGGAGAGGUCAGAGGUACUUCUGGGGUAGGGGUAAAAUCCUGUAAUCCUGGAAGGACCACCGGUGGCGAAGGCGUCUGACUAGAACGGAUCCGACGGUGAGGGACGAAGCCCUGGGGCGCAAACGGGAUUAGAUACCCCGGUAGUCCAGGGUGUAAACGAUGUGGACUUGGUGUUGGGAUGGCUCCGAGCUGCCCCAGUGCCGAA
rnacentral:rRNA from 1 species